ACCAGAGCUUCUCAAAUGUUAAUGUGCAGACGAAUCCCCUGGGGAUCUUGUGAAAUUACAGAUGGGUCUGAGGUGAAGCCUGAGAUUCUCUGUUUCCAUCAUGCUUGGAGGUGAAGCCAGCUGCUGCUGAUUCAUGGGCCAUGCUUUGAGAGGCAAGGGUCUCUAGACAGAAGUUGUCAUUCCUAAUGACUUUGUAAAUCACUCUGAGCCAUGGAAAAAUAAACAAUCGCUCUUAUAGUCUGGCUUGACUGUUCCCUGGGCUGGGCAUGUGCCCUAUACCUGACCAACCAGAGAUCAUUGUAGGACAGAAGGGCGGGGCCAUAUCUGCCUAUGUGACAAUAAUUGUGCCCAUAUAAUGCCAUCAGUGAAUGUGUCCUUUGGAAAAUGAAGCCAAAUCAAGAGACCAUUGAGCCAAGAGAAAAGAGAUAAUUUGGAUGGCAUUGAUAGAUAGAACCUUUGGAUCAAGCACUGCCAGUUCCUAUCUUGACUUCCUCAAUUAUGCCAGCCAG
rnacentral:lncRNA from 1 species